AAAUGAGAAGAAAACCUUGUUUUGAUCUUCAAUGGAUUGAAAUGUGCUUGCCUUGUCAUUGCCCAAAAUGAGAAGAAAAACUUGUGUAAUCCUCCAAGGGUAUUUCUUCUUAUUUUGUUGAGUCACACACCAUGUGUAUAAUUUGUAUGACACGUGGCAUAUGCCAUGUAUGCUCUGACACGUCAAAAUUUUAAUGCAUUGGUGAACAUUUACUUCACCGCAAUUUCGAUGUCUACAAAUGCCCCCACUUCAAGGUGCGUCGUAUACAUUUGAUUGUCACGUGUAGGAGAUGCGUUUUGAAGUCCCUUACUGUAGAUGUCGAUCCAAGGGCCAUCGAGGCUUGAUCUUGAAUUGGGCUGGAGAUUUCUUCAAGGGCCGUCGAGGCUUGAUCUUGAAUUUGGCCGGAAACUUCUUCAAGGGUCGUUGAUGCUUGAUUCUUGAAGGUUGACUCGAACACAUGGCAAGCAGGCACGAGGUGAAGGUGACGACUUGUUGCUUUGUUCAAUCUUUCUAAUUCACACCUGAGCAGUUUGGUCAACGGUAUGAUCUUCAAGAUUGAUGGGCUCUUCUUCCAGUUGGUGACUUGAUCUUUAAGGACUUGAUUCAAGGGUGGUGAAACGGCACAUGCAGCCCACAACGCCUAGCAAGUCGACCCAAGAAUUUGAGGGUCAAAACGAGUCUUCCACCCAGAGUGAUUGCAAACCUGAUGAUAUGAGAUACUUUUGAUUUUGAAGAAGUAGCGGAUGAAUCGACACGUGCUUUGUUGUGCUUGUCUCCACAUGCUUCAAUGUAUCAUUUUCCCUUGUCUUAUCUAUACUUCUGGUAGCAUGUAACAUCUUCUCGAGUUCUUCAGCUCAGACUCAUUCUGCUGAGCUGACUGUGCAGGCUGCAUUCUUCUCUGCUUGUUUCUUCAGGCAGAUGUGGCAGCUUCUUGAGUUCCUCAGCUCGGACUCCUUCUGCUGAGCUGACUGUGAAGACUGCAUUCUUCUCUGCUUGUUUCUUCUGCACGUUGUCUCCACAUGCUGCAAGGUAUCAUUUUCACUUGCCUUAUCUGUUCUCCAGGCAAAUGUGGCAUCCGAGUUUGAGUAGAGGUUCCGGCAUAUUGUUUUCUUUAUCCUUGUCUUUGUAGGUAAGAACAAGGACAAAGGAAAGGACAGAGAGAACACAUGAUAUGAGAUACUCUUGCUUUCUACCCUGGUGAUAUGAGAUACUUUUGCUUUGGUGUCAUUUGUUUGCAGAGGUACCCCAAGGAAUAAGAAACACUGAGUGACUCGAGAGGCUUCGUUGGGAAGGCAUGAAGAAAGGUUCUCAGAGAUGAAGAAAGGUUCUCGGAGAUGAAGAAAGGUUAUGUAUGUCUGCCUUGCUAUGGAGGGUGAAGGUGGACAGUUAUAGGAAAUUCUUUAGUACCUGUAGAGGUACUAUUCUUUUACUCGUGUCGGCAACCAAUGCGUGAUUGAUCAGUAUGGCUUCACGUGCUUUCUUCUUUAUCAGAAAUCUUCGACAAAUUGUCCGUAAUUUUCGUCAAGCUGAGUGUGCAUGUGACAUGUGUUGACGAGGCUGAAAAAGACUGGCGCCUCUUCGAUAUCUGGGAUUGGCGCUUUAACAAAUUGCCCGUGAUUUCCGCAAAGCUGAGUUUGCGCGUGACGGGUGCUAACGAGGCUGAAAAAGACUGGCGCCUCUUCGAUAUCUGGGAUUGGCGCUUUAACAAAUUGCCCGUGAUUUCCGCAAAGCUGAGUUUGCAUGUGACGGGUGCUAACGCGUCUGGAAAAGCAAGAUGCUUCUUCGAUUUCUGAGCUUGCCUCUUUGAUUUUUGAAUUGGCUUCUUCGAAUUCUGAGCUCGCCUCUUCGAUCUUUGAAAUCCCGUCGAGUGUUGAUCUUUAUAGAGGCACGCAGUUCGUUUCAAAGCACACUUGAAUUUUCGCUUGUAGAAACUCCCUUCUUGCACUUCUAAGAUCUUGAUUUGUCCGACCUCUUCUUUCUUCAACACCUUUGAAAAUGUCUGGACCCUUCGACCGUCGUUUUGAUUUGAACCUUGGUGAAUAGGUAGUCCCGUCUUCUCCAGAUAACAUAUGGCGCCCAUCUUUCAUAUCCCUUACUGGUCCUCUUACCGUUGGGGAUUCGGUGGUGAAGAAUGAUAUGACCGCUGCGGUAGUGGCCCGAAACCUUGUCACUCAUAGAGAUAACAGACUACUUUCCAAACGGUCUGAUGAGUUGGCUGUUAAGGAUUCUCUGGCUCUCAGUGUGCAGUGUGCAGGUUCUGUGUCUAAUAUGGCCCAACGCCUAUUUGCUCGAACCCGUCAAGUUGAAUCAUUGGAGGCUGAAGUGAUGAGUCUCAAACAGGAGAUUAGAGGGCUCAAGCAGGAGAAUAAACAGUUGCAUAAGCUCGCACAUAGCUAUGCGACAAACAUGAAGAGGAAGAUUAACCAGAUGCAGGAAUCUGAUGGUCAGAUUUUACCUGAUCAUCAGAGGUUUGUGGGUUUGUUCCAGCAGCAUUUGCCUUCGUCUUCUGGGGCUGUACCGCGUAAUGAAGCUCCAAAUAAUCAACCUUUGGCUCAUCUUCUUCCUGGAGUUCCGCCGAGUGGUGUGGCUUCAAACAGUCAACCUCCGGCGCCUCUCAUUUCUGGAGCUCUGCCGAGUGGUGAGGCGGCACCUGAUCAUCCUUGAAGAUCCCCUAUUGUAAAUUUGAUUUGAUUUUUUUUUAUUUUAAGUAUGUAUAAUGCAAAUUUAUGUAAAAUUUCCAAAAAAAAUAAAUAAAAACGGACUUUAUUUCUCUCAAUGCAUUUGUUUUGUUUUGUUUUGUUUUGUUUUGUUUUGUUUUUUUUUUGUAAAUACAUAAUAACAUAUGUAUUUAUUUAUUUAUUCUUUUGUAAUAAAAUUGACUUUCUUUAAUAAAACUUUUAUAUUUUUUUUUAUUUUGAUAUGACUGAACUCGAAAUUGAAUGUUCGAGCCGCCUACGUACCCUUCCAAAGAGGAGAUCAAGCCAUAACGCAGUUCAAAUGAGUGAUGAAUUUAACAGUGAUUUUGAUGAUGAUUUUGCCGUACACAGUUUAUGCUCUUGCGGGCCAGGAGCUUUGAUGUUGCCUUUUAUGCUCGUGCAGACCAGGAGCGUUGAUGUUGCCUUUUAUGCUCGUGCGGGUCAGGAGCGUUGAUGUUGCCUUUUAUGCUCGUGCAGACCAGGAGCUUUGUGCCAUGCAGUUUAGACUCGUGCGGGCAAUGAGCUUUGGUUCGUGCAGUUUAGGCUCGAGCGAACAAGGAGCAUUGGUUCGUGCGAACAAGGAGCAUUGGUGUUGCCUUUUAUGCUCGUGCAGACCAGGAGCUUUGUGCCAUGCAGUUUAGACUCGUGCGGGCGAGGAGAAUUUGUGAAUUUUGUCAAGCAAUUUUGGAGAGGCGUUCCUCACAAUCUUCAUAGCAAGGAGCCUUGACCGAGUGAUUGAAGAAGUCUUUGGGAAAGAAAUCGCGUAUCGUGAUGGGGAUGGACGAUCUAUGUGUCGAAAUUUCAUCAUCUUCAACACGUUCAUGUUGCUUUGAAGGUUGACAAGAGCUGCUUUGCCCCCUUUCCGAUUGGCGGACUUGUGGAGGAGAUGUAUGCUUAUUGUGCAAUUUCUUAGGAGUGACUUGAGUCCAUCCUUCAACUUUGCUUGUCUUGGAGGAUGCCCCCUGAGGUUGAGGUAAAAAUUGUGAGUCCGAAAAGCCAGAAGUGAUGGUGGUAUAGUUUGACUUCACCACAUCGUCAAGAUCUAGCUCGAUGAUUCCUUUAUGAGCCAGCUUCAUGAUGAGAUCUUUCAGCACGAAGCACUUUUCUGUCGGAUGACUGAUGAAGCGGUGGAAUUUACAGUACCUUGGACUGUCGGUGCGAUUCAUCUCUUCUGGCCGUCUGCACUCAGGCAAGCCGAUCACCUUCUUUUCCAGCAAGUCUUCUAACAUGGCAACCACACCAGAGUCGGGGAAUGGAUAAGUUUUCUCCUCAAGCUCCUUCAAAAUGCGUAUACGCAUCUCUUGAUCACGAAAAGCUUCAGCUUGAAUCGCCUUGCCUCGUGUAGGGAUUUUGAUGGGAGAUGUGUUGAUUGUCAUUGCUUCCUUGAUGGAUUUCCACGUAGCCUUCUCCACCUUUGUCUCAAGAAUUUUGUCGUUCUUGUAGUCGGCGAUCGGUUCCUUCUUCCCAUGAUGGGCGAUGCUCAAUUCUAUGUCAUGGGCGCGGGUGGCCAAUUCCUCGAAGGUCUGUGGUUUAAUGCCUUGAAGGAUGUAUUGCAAACCCCAUUGCAUGCCUUGGAUGCACAUCUCGAUUGAAGAGGUUUCCGAUAGCCUGUCUUUACAGUCGAGGCUUAGAGUGCGCCAUCUAUUGAUGUAGUCAAUGACUGGCUCGUCCUUCCACUGCUUUGUGCUCGUUAGCUCUAGCAUGCUCACAGUGCGGCGGGUGUUGUAGAAGCGGUUGAGGAAUUCCUUUUCCAACUGUUCCCAGCUGUUGAUGGACUCAGGCUCUAGGUCUGUGUACCACUCAAAGGCGUUUCCUUUUAGCGAGCGCACAAACUGCUUGGCGAGGUAGUCUCCCUCCGUCCCCGCGUUGUUGCAAGUUUCGACGAAAUGUGCAACGUGCUGCUUUGGGUUUCCUUUUCCAUCAAACUGCAUGAACUUUGGUGGUUGAUAUCCCCUCGGCAUCUUUAGGGCAUCAAUUUUCUUUGAAUAAGGCUUUGAGUACAACCCGGAGGUAUUUGAGCUCCAUUCGUACUGUGCCUUAACGGUGCUGGCAAUCAUCUCUUGCAACUGCUGGAUAGAAAGAGAUCACAUGAGUGCCGCUUCUUGGUCUGGCUUCGGCUUCACAUCGAUUCUCUCCACCGUAGGCUCAUCUUCUGGGUUAGGGUUCUCGCCGUCCUGUGGCUCCAGUCGACUGACAAGUGCAGCGAUUUGCAAGUCUUUUUCUUCCACAGUUCGGGUUAGCCUUGCGAUUGCUUCAUUCAUUUGAGCCAGUUGUUCUUCGAUGGAGGUAACGCUGAUGGUCAUGACUUAUGCAACCAAUAGACGUGACUUUCCUUUAGACAUCCAAGAUGCUGACGAAGAACGUCGUUGGUUGUUUUGGGAUGUCAUCUUGUGUGCCUCAGCAGCAUGCUUCGGUGCCCCCAGCGAGGUCAGGUUGAUGACAGACUCAUACUUUUGAUGCUCCCUUUGCUCUUUUAGCGGCACCAACUUUGAAGUGGCAUGUUGAUGAGUGGUUGUGGCGCCAAUGGAUUGUCCAUUUGCGGCAGAAGUGCUUAGGAUCCUUCCCUCAGUGAUUGCGAGAACGGCUUGUCCCUUGCUUGAUACCAUUAACUUUGAGGUGUGUUUGGAUUCCUUGAACGAAGAAAGAGAUGAGAGGUAAAGAUUGUCCCACCGGGCGUGCCAAUUUGUGAACACGGAAAAUUCCUGAAACGAAAGAGACAAGAACAACGUGCACAAACAAAUAUUUUGUGUUUGAUGAUUUUGGGUUACAAUCUCUUUUAACUUUGAUUCUCUGAUUCGAUCUCCGUAAGGUGUUGAUUUGUGAAUGUUUGAUUGAUCCAAGGGCCGUCGAGGCUUGAUCUUGGAUGAACUGUUGGAAGUUUCUUCAAGGGGCCGUGGGCUUGAUCUUUGAAGGUGGAUUUGAGCGAAUCUUCAAGGAGCCGUUGGGGCUUGAUCUUGAGGAUGAGUGUUUCUUCAAGGGCCGUUAAGGUUUGAUCUUGAAUAACGGUGAUGAACGGAUCUUCAAGGGCUUUUGGGCUUGAUCUUGAAGAACGGUUGGAUGUGUGGAUUUGUUGAUGUUUUGUUGAUCCAAGGGCCGUCGGGGCUUGAUCUUGGAUGAACGGAUGAUGAACGAUGGUGCUUUCUUCAAAGACCGUCGGGGCUUGAUCUUGAAUUGGUGGAUGGUUGAUCCAAGGGCCGUCGGGGCUUGAUCUUGGAAGAACAAAGAACGAAGAGAGCUUUCUUGAUUCUUCGGGAACCUUGAGAGCUUUAGAGUUUCAAAGCUUCAAAGAUUUGGGGGAUUCUCUUCCAAUUUGGGAGUAGAGAAAUGUAUUUGUGAAUUGGUUGAUGAUACCUUGAUGUAGAAGCCUAUUUAUAGGCUUUGAGAAUGAAUCACCAUCACAAAAUAUUUUUUUUCUUUUCCAAGCACCAUUGCCUAAUUUCCCACUUAAUACAAUUUUAAACUUGAAGUGGUAAUUUUAUGGCCUAAUUUUCCACUUAAUAUCAUUUUAAACUUGAUAUGUGCAUGCUUUGUCAUUGCCAAAAAUGAGAAGAAAACCUUGUUUUGAUCUUCAAUGGAUUGAAAUGUGCUUGCCUUGUCAUUGCCCAAAAUGAGAAGAAAACCUUGUUUUGAUCUUCAAUGGAUUGAAAUGUGCUUGCCUUGUCAUUGCCCAAAAUGAGAAGAAAAACUUGUGUAAUCCUCCAAGGGUAUUUCUUCUUAUUUUGUUGAGUCACACACCAUGUGUAUAAUUUGUAUGACACGUGGCAUAUGCCAUGUAUGCCCUGACACGUCAAAAUUUUAAUGCGUUGGUGAACAUUUACUUCACCGCAAUUUCGAUGUCUACAGCCGUGCUUUAAGAAUAAUUAGUUGUAAAGUAAAGUAGAUGAGCAUUUGGUUAACUGUAUUUUAUAAAUGUUGUGAGUAUGAAAAGCAGUGUAAAAGCGUUUGGUAAAUUUUAAAAAUGAUAUAAUUGUAUAAUGACAAAAUGGACCUAAUUGUAAGAGUGGGGGCGACGACAGUAGUCGCAAGGAUGGUAGUGGUGGCGGUGGUGACGGUAGCAACGGUGGAGGUAUGGUGGUGGUGCUAAUAGUGAUUUGAUGGUGAUGGUGCUAAUAGUGAGAUUUGAUGGUUGGGGUGCAUAUAUAACAAUGGUGUUAAGGGUGGUAGUGCCGAUGGUGGCAGUUGUGGUUGUGGUGACAGCGAUGACGAUUGAGGUUAUGGUGGUGGCGGAAAAAAUGGUGGUGACAAUAGUUGUAGUGGCGGUUGUUGUUAUGAUGGCAAUAAUGGCGGUUGCUUGCAGUUAUGGUGGUGAUGGUUGCAGUGGAUGGCCCUGCCCUUGGCUUUUUUGCUAACAAGGCAAUUUCAUGCCCUGCCCUUGGAGGUUGUGGUUAUGGUGACAAUGGUGGAGGUUAUGGUUGUAGUGGUGGUGGUGGCAACAACAGUGGUGAUAGGUGGUAGGAGUCACUUUAUUCUCUAAGGGAUACUAUGUGUGAAAGACUAAAUAUGUCAUUUUCAAAAAACUAAUAAAGGUAUUACAAUAAUUGAAAAUAUUCAUCAAAGACUAAAUUCUGCUUUUUAUUAAAACAGCUUUUAAAAGCAACAUACAGGUUGCUUUUAAAAGUUGCUGUCUGGAGAUCAUUGUUUUUAAAAUAAGCAUGAUAUUUUACUUUUACCAAACACUUUUUUACUACUUAACUUUAAAGUGAAUCAGUGUUUGGUGAAAAAAAACAAUACUAAACGGGGCCUUAAUGUGAUUUAAUAAUUAUCAAAGACAAUAAUGUAGGGCAAAAAUUAUAAUUUUGUAAAACAUUUGGGGGUAUACUUGCCAUUUUAAAAUUUCAUUAAUUGAGCACUUAUUAAUAUGCUUUGACAAAAAAAAUAUUUUUUUUUAAAAGCAUGGUAGAUGAUGCUUCUACUUUAUUUUAUUUUAUGUUUUUCUACUUUCAUAGACAUCAUUUUUUUUAAAGUAUUUUUUUUAUUUUACCGAACACAUUUAAUGUUCCAGAUUUUUUAAUAAGCUGUUUUUUUUAAAAGCACCAUAAUCCAAACCAACCAUAAUUCAAUCAAAAUGUAGCAUUAGUUUGUUACUAACUCGACUUUACCCAACGGGUUUUCUCUU
rnacentral:lncRNA from 1 species